UGAAUACGAGACGCUAAGGCGUCGAAGUAGUGUAUGUCAUACUUCCAAGAAAAGCUUGCACUGUCAUAGAUAAAAAACGCCUGUACCAUAACCGACACAGGUGGGUAGGUAGAGUAUACUAAGGGGCGCGAGAUAACUCUCUCUAAGGAACUCGGCAAAAUAACUCCGUAACUUCGGGAGAAGGAGUGCCUUAUUCGUAAGGUUGCAAUAACAAGAUCCAAGCAACUGUUUAUCAAAAACACAGGUCUCCGCUAAGUCGUAAGACGAUGUAUGGGGGCUGACGCCUGCCCAGUGCCAGAAGGUUAAAGAAGUUGGUUAGCAAUUGCGAAGCUGAUAACUGAAGCCCUGGUGAACGGCGGCCGUAACUAUAACGGUCCUAAGGUAGCGAAAUUCCUUGUCGGGUAAGUUCCGACCCGCACGAAAGGCGUAAUGAUUUGGAUACUGUCUCGGAGAGGGGCUCGGUGAAAUAGACUUGUCUGUGAAGAUGCGGACUACCUGCACCAGGACAGAAAGACCCUAUGAAGCUUUACUGUAACUUGAAAUUGAAAUUGGACUUUAUUCGCGCAGUAUAGGUGGGAGGCGUUGAUUAUAAUCUUGUGGGAUUAUUGGGGCCAUCAGUGAGAUACCACUCUUGUAAUGUUAGAUUUCUAACUUUGAAUCAUUAUCUGGUCAAAGAACAGUUUCAGGCGGGCAGUUUGACUGGGGCGGUCGCCUCCUAAACGGUAACGGAGGCGUACAAAGGUUUCCUCUGAACGGUUAGAAAUCGUAUCUAGAGUGUAAAGGCAUAAGGAAGCUUGACUGUGAGACCUACAAGUCGAGCAGGGACGAAAGUCGGUCUUAGUGAUCUGACGGUACUGAGUGGAAAGGCCGUCACUCAACGGAUAAAAGUUACUCUAGGAUAACAGGCUGAUCUCCCCCAAGAGUUCACAUCGACGGGGAGGUUUGGCACCUCGAUGUCGGCUCAUCGCAUCCUGGGGCGGUAGUACGUCCCAAGGGUUGGGCUGUUCGCCCAUGAAAGCGGUACGCGAGCUGGGUUCAGAACGUCGUGAGACAGUUCGGUCCAUAUCCGGUGUAGGCGUUAGAAUAUUGAGAGGAGCCUUCUUUAGUACGAGAGGACCGAGAAGGACAUACCUCUGGUGUACCAGUUAUCGUGCCAACGGUAAACGCUGGGUAGCUAUGUAUGGAGUGGAUAACCGCUGAAAGCAUCUAAGUGGGAAGCCCACCUCAAGAUAAG
rnacentral:rRNA from 1 species